ensembl:lncRNA
UUCAUUUUCAUGACCGCGAAAAUAAUCGCCUAAAUGUAAGUUUCGUUUUGCGCUUUAAUGUAAAGCAAUAUCGUCAGUUAUUUAUGUAUUUGAUGUCAGUUGUUGACACGUAUUUAUUUGAGGACCAAACACAGUUUUUGAGUGACUUGUUGUGUGAAUGUGAACAUGGUAAAACACAUUACAAAACGCCUGAUCUAUGAAAGAAUCGAGACCAUGUAAGUAUAGAACUCUGCCUGUUUAAUAAGAACGUUGUAAUUAAAGUUUCCAUUUAUGAAAUGAAAUCUGCAAGUUUUAUUAACUUUCAUGGCAACUGGGACAAGCUUUUAAAGUUGUUUAUCCAAGCCAAGUCACCUUUAACGUUUAUCCGACGACUCGCAAGAUAUGUAAUGUUAAUAACGUUAAUCAUAUCUGUUACUCCUAAACCCUGUGUCCAUAACCAAGAUAAACCGAUUCUGGCCUUUGUUUCUGAUGGAAAUAUGUUUAAUUAAUGUUUUUAUAUUUGAUAUUCUUCAUAGAGUGUUAGUAAGUUAGUUUGGGUUAAUGCAGUUGCGUUAACAGUUACAGAUCUGCAAGUGACAGGGAGGUCGAGGCACAGAGCUGCUUCAAGUUAACCCUUGAGUAUUGCUUGAGUCGGGUGGGCCGCAUGCAUUCCGAACACUCAUCCAAUAGGAAGAGGGAGGGACGGCGGGCGACUGGGAGUACCAGCGCCUGGGAGAGUGCCAUUCAGCGUGGCCGCUGGAGGGACAAACGAACGUCAUCAGCGGUGUUGAUCGGCAGCGAGGACAAAGAUCUCAUCGAGCUCAUCAAUGAUCAGUCGGACAUGGAGCUGGCAGCCGCCACAGAAAUGCCUUUAGUUGAUGCGGCGGUGUUGGUGAAAGGUGGCGACGAGGAGACAGAGUCCACAACCAAAGGUCUAAACUCUGGGCAUGACUCUUCUAACUGCUCAAUGGACGGCCUGUGCUCGGGCCCCUCCUCUCCGAAAGAGGACCCCGAUGUGGGGCGAAGCUACGCCCAGGGCCUGUGUCUCUGCUGCCAGACGCUGUUGAAGAGGGCAACACACAGCUGGCCUUUAAAGGCCAAGCUGCUGGAAACUGACCCAAAAUCCUUAUCCUGUGACCAGUGGGUGUUGAAGAAGAGGUGGAAAUCGAGUGGGCGGCCGGUUCUCAAGAGUAAGCUUCAGGGUUGCUUGAAGCGGAUUCAGAGAAGACGGAGCGAUGUUUACAACGUCAUGCAAGGCCAGCCGGCCUGCUCCAGAGCACACACUUUUCUACAGAGGAACCUGAGACGCUGCACCAAGGCGUCGGCCAGGAGGGGGAGGAAGAGGAAGCGCACGAGUAGAAGGAUGGAGGAGACGACGACGACGAUGGGGAAGAGGGCCAGGUGCGACCCCCACCAAAAAGAGCCUAGCCCCACCGCUCCCCACGGUCAGAGUGUCGACAACCCGUCGCCUCUCGAUAGUCUGAGCGAGGAGGAGGAUGCUGAGGCGCAGGACUCCGCCCACAGCUCCCUGGAGGUGGUCCCCUCCCUGGUCGCCAUAGAUUUCACGGUCGACCAGAAAGCGGGAGCCAGUAAGGGUGGUCCAGCAAAGAGGGGCGGCUUCAAGGACCUGUUGAUUCAGUUGCGGGGUAACAGCAGCAAGAUAGUGAGAGAAACAGAUCACCAUUGACCACCAUGGAAUGGUGUUCUGAUGGACGUGUUUGUGCGGAACAGUGUUUUCACUGAACGCACCGUUACCUUGGUGUUCUGAUGGACGUGUUCGUGCGGAACAGUGUUUUCACUGAACGCACCGUUACCUUGGUGUUCUGAUGGACGUGUUUGUGCGGAACAGUGUUUUCACUGAACGCACCGUUACCUUGGUGUUCUGAUGGACGUGUUCAUGCGGAAUAGUGUUUUUCACUGAAUGCAUAACUGUUCGUGCAGACAUAACUGUUCGUAACAAGGACGUUGUUAUGGACAAAACCGUCAACUGGGUGAUCGGAAGAAGUGUUUGAGUGGAAUAGCAUUGUACAUUACCCCACUGUUACCAUGGAGAUCUGAUGGAAAUGUUUGUGCUGAAUGGACUUGUAAUUGACUGCACUGUUACUAUGGUGAUCUGAUGGAAGUAUUAAUAUAGAAAACCGUUGUAAGCAUUAUGCGUUUCUGUGUUCUAAUUCGACUCAGAUCUCAGAUAUAUUUUCGGGCACAUCAAUUACAUACAUUUCCCUAAUUUGAUUUUUCUUUUUACAAGAUUUACCAGAAGAAAAACGUUUUAUUUUCAAGAAAUAUAGCAAUUAAUAUUAGGCAACUUGACAUCGCAUCAAAAAUGCAAAGCAAAGGUAUAACAUGUUGAACCAGAAAAUGGCAUAUUUGUCUGUUUACUUGUGGCGUCCUCUUGACCGUUUGCUGUCAUCCGAACGACCACACGGUGGCGCCACAUGGCAGAAAUCCAAUAGGAGAACCUUCAGGGUCGUUCAGAUCACAGUCACUGCAUUGACUGUUCCGACCCGUUGCUGCCAUACGUCAACGUUGACGCCAAAUUUGAUAUGCAAAGACGCCGGUAAACGAAUUGAAGAAAACGGUUGAGCUGCUGGAGUCCUGAUGGAUUAAAAGCACAAACGUUUCCAACGAAAUUCAAUGAUUCGUUUUUAUAUACAUAUUUAAUAAUUUAUUUAUAUAAAACAUAAAGGUGAAAAAUAAGAGGUGGGUUACUCCUCAUAUAUUCAUAUAAAAUGGGUAUUGUAUAUAUUUUAAUUUUUUUUCCAUCAUAACCCCAUGAAUAAAAACGACUCAAUCCUUUGGGAAAUGUAAACGUUGUAGUGCUUUCUAUCAAUAAAAACCGAAGCUCCCCUGUUUAAUUGUAUUACUUGCCUCUCCAAUAUUGCGGCUUAAGUUGACGUAUCGCAUCAAUGCGACUAUGUAUAUAUGGCUAUGGUUCAGACUCUCCACUCCUGUUCCUCUCAGAGCGUUCUUGUUAGUUCACGCCAUUCUUAUCUCUGCUGCUCUACUGGGACCAUGAGUGUUUUGUCAUUCGAUAGGUG